UGGCCCCCUCCCGGGCCCGAGUUGUAAUUUGCAGAGGACGCUUUUGGUGAGGUGCCUUCCGAGUUCCCUGGAACGGGACGCCGCAGAGGGUGAGAGCCCCGUCUGGUAGGACGCCGAGCCUCUGUAAAGCUCCUUCGACGAGUCGAGUAGUUUGGGAAUGCUGCUCUAAAUGGGAGGUAUAUGUCUUCUAAAGCUAAAUACCGGCCAGAGACCGAUAGCGCACAAGUAGAGUGAUCGAAAGAUGAAAAGCACUUUUGAAAAGAGGGUUAAACAGUACGUGAAAUUGUUGAAAGGGAAGCGCUCGCGACCAGACAUGGGCCCCGGGAAUCAUCCGGCGUUCCUCGCCGGUGCACUUCACGGGGUUCCAGGCCAGCAUCAGCUCGCGCCGGGGGGCAAARGCGGGGGGGAAGUGGCUCCUCCGGGAGUGUUAUAACCCCCCGCGCAAUGCCCUGGGGCGGGCUGAGGUUCGCGCAUCACUGCAAGGAUGCUGGCGUAAUGGUCGUCAGCGACCCGUCUUG
rnacentral:rRNA from 1 species